AGGAUCAUUAUAGAAACACGUCGGGGGUUCGAAGCGCUGGCCCUGGAAGAAGGGGCACCGUGCGCGCCCCUGACCCCUUCGUCCCACAAAUACACCUGUGCACCUAGCGAGCGCCUCCCAUAUAGGAGCCGUCCUGAUGUAGAACCCCUUCGGGGGGGAGUCGGGCCCGGGGCGUUCCCUCUUUACCUUUACACAACCGUCUGUUCAAACGCAUGUCUUUUUUUUGAAGCCCUACGGGGCGAAAGCGGAACACAACUUUCAACAACGGAUCUCUUGGCUUUCGCAUCGAUGAAGGACGCCGCGAACGCGCGAAACGUAAUGUGAAUUGCAGAAUUCAGUGAAUCAUCGAAUCUUUGAACGCAUCUUGCGCUCCUUGGUAUUCCGAGGAGCAUGCCUGUUUGAGUGUCGUGAACUUACCUCAAACCCCACUCUCUCUCCCGAGGAUGGGGUUUGGAUUUGGACGCUUGCGGCGGGGGGGUCUCUCUCUCCUGCCGCUCGUCUUUAAAUGCAUCAGCUGGUCCCUCGCAGUCGGUCCAACGAACGGUGUGAUAACAAACGCUUCGUUGACUGUGGCGCCGUUUUCGGCCGACUCGUAUUGGAGUGGGGGGUCGCUUAGAGCCGUCUUCGGACAGUCUGUUGUCGUCUGACCUCAAAUCAGGUAGGACUACCCGCCGAACUUAAGCAUAUCAAUAAGCGGAGGAAAAGAAACUAACGAGGAUUCCCCUAGUAACGGCGAGUGAAGCGGGAAGAGCUCAAAUUUGUAAUCUGGCGGUCUGUGGCCGUCCGAGUUGUAGUCUGGAGAAGCGUUUUCUGCGUCGGACCGUGUGCAAGUCCCUUGGAACAGGGCGUCACAGAGGGUGAGAAUCCCGUCUUUGGCACGGACCGCCGACGCUUUGCGAUGCGCUCUCGAAGAGUCGAGUUGUUUGGGAAUGCAGCUCAAAUCGGGUGGUAAACUCCAUCUAAAGCUAAAUACGGGCGAAAGACCGAUAGCGAACAAGUACCGUGAGGGAAAGAUGAAAAGCACUUUGGAAAGAGAGUUAAACAGUACGUGAAAUUGUUGGAAGGGAAACGCUUGAAGUCAGUCGCGUCCCUCGGGACUCAGCCGAGCCUCUCGGUGUACUUCCCGGGGCGACGGGCCAGCGUCGAUUUCGACCGUCGGAGAAAGGCUUUGGGAAUGUGGCACCUUCGGGUGUGUUAUAGCCUUGGGUCGCAUGCGACGGUUGGGAUCGAGGAUCGCAGCACGCCCUUUUGGCCGGGGUUCGCCC
rnacentral:rRNA from 1 species